rnacentral:rRNA from 1 species
CAGGCCUAACACAUGCAAGUCGAGCGAUGAAGCACCUUCGGGUGUGGAUUAGCGGCGAACGGGUGAGGAACACGUGAGGAAUCUGCCUUCCACUCUGGGAUAACUCCGGGAAACCGGGGCUAAUACCGGAUACUUUCAACUGGCGGCAUCGCCGGUUGAAGAAAGUUUUUCGGUGGAAGAUGACCUCGCGGCCUAUCAGCUUGUUGGUGAGGUAAUGGCUCACCAAGGCAACGACGGGUAGCCGGCCUGAGAGGGCGACCGGCCACACUGGGACUGAGACACGGCCCAGACUCCUACGGGAGGCAGCAGUGGGGAAUAUUGGGCAAAGGGGGAAACUCU